UACAGGGGGGGCAAGCGUUGUUCGGAAUUACUGGGCGUAAAGGGCGCGUAGGCGGUUUAGUAAGUCAGAUGUGAAAGCCCGGGGGUCAACUCCGGAAUUGCAUUUGAAACUGCUAGGCUAGAGUGCAGUAGAGGAUGGCGGAAUACCCAGUGGAGAGGUGAAAUUCGUAGAUAUUGGGUGGAACACCGGUGGCGAAGGCGGCCAUCUGGGCUGUAACUGACGCUGAGGCGCGAAAGCGUGGGGAGCAAACAGG
rnacentral:rRNA from 1 species